rnacentral:rRNA from 1 species
GUAGGUGGCAAGCGUUGUCCGGAAUUAUUGGGCGUAAGGCGCGCGCAGGCGGUUCUUUAAGUCUGAUGUGAAAGCCCACGGGCUCAACCGUGGAGGGUCAUUGGAAACUGGAGAACUUGAGUACAGAAGAGGAAAGCGGAAUUCCACGUGUAGCGGUGAAAUGCGUAGAGAUGUGGAGGAACACCAGUGGCGAAGGCGGCUUUCUGGUCUGUAACUGACGCUGAGGCGCGAAAGCGUGGGGAGCAAACAGGAUUAGAUACCCUGGUAGUCCACGCCGUAAACGAUGAGUGCUAAGUGUUAGGGGGUUUCCGCCCCUUAGCGCUGCAGCUAACGCAUUAAGCACUCCGCCUGGGGAGUACGGCCGCAAGGCUG